AUACGGAGGGUGCAAGCGUUAAUCGGAAUUACUGGGCGUAAAGCGUACGUAGGCGGUUCGUUAAGUUAGAUGUGAAAGCCCCGGGCUUAACCUGGGAACUGCACUUAAAACUGGCGAACUAGAGUUGAGUAGAGGGGAGUGGAAUUUCAGGUGUAGCGGUGAAAUGCGUAGAGAUCUGAAGGAACACCAGUGGCGAAGGCGGCUCCCUGGACUCAAACUGACGCUGAGGUACGAAAGCGUGGGUAGCAAACGGGAUUAGAAACCCUAGUAGUCC
rnacentral:rRNA from 1 species